UGAUCUAUUCAACACAGUUCAAUCUACAAACCAGGAACAUUCCCUUUAUUCAACAUGCUGGACCUGGAUUACUGGAUGGUUUAUCUCCAUCUACUGGUUGUUCUCACAGGUGUCAACUGUGAAGAUCUGAGUCCAGUCAAGAAUGAAGAGUCCAGUUUAGAAGGAAACUCUGUUACUCUCACAUAUAAAUACUCUCAACAAAUGUCGAAAGCUAAUUCUUUCUUCUGGUAUCGACAAUGUCCAGGAAAACCACCAGAGCUCCUCAUCUCACACUUACCCUCAGGAUCACCAAUAACUGAAAAUAUUUCUGGACUGAAGAUUAAUGUGGAGAAAAACCUCAUCUCUAUGAGCAUCUCCUCUGCUGCAGUGUCAGACUCUGCUGUGUACUACUGUGCUCUCUCACCUAAACCCCUCGUCUACCUUAUCAUUGUCAUCAUCAUCAUCAUCAUCACCCCUUCCUCCACUCACCACCCUCACUACCUCUUGGUGAAUAAUUGA